GCAUGCAAAGAAAGACAGAGGCUGCAAGGGAUAAACUUCAUCUUGGGAGAUCCCUGGAGAUGGCAGGGAACCCAUGGACACAUGUGGCAUGGGCUCCUUUGGGUGCCGGUGGAUCCCUUCAUACGGUAGUGUUGGUGUAAAAGGCAAACCCGUGUCAUGAGGGAUGGUCAUCAUCUUGUGUGAUCCUUGGAGAUGGCAGGAAGCCCUGGACAUACAUGGUGUGGGGGCUCCUCCAGAGGCUGUUGGGAUCCUCCUGGAUGUGGUGUGGGCAUGGAAGGAAGGCCAGUGGAGACAAUGGAUGAUCUUGUUCUUAGCAGAUCACUGGAUGUGGCAGGGAGUCCUAGGACAUGUGUGGUGUGGGCUUCUUCAGGUGCUGGUGGUGUUGGCAUGAGGAAAGGAGGUAUCUUCGAGGGACAAUCUUCUUCUUGUGCGAUCCUUGGAGAUGCCAUGAGGCCCCUGGACACAUGUGGUGUGGGCUCCUUUGGAGGCUGUUGUAUCCCUUCUGAAUGUGGCGUGGGCAUAGAAGGAAGGCCAGUGGCCACGAGGGACAAUCUUGGUCUUGGGAGAUCCUGGAAAUGAUAGGGAGUCCCUUGAUAUGUGUGGCAUGGGCUCCUUCAGGUGCUAGUGGAUUCCUUAGGAUGGUGGUGUUGGCAUGAAAGGCAGGCUUGUAUCAUGAGGAAUGAUUGUCAUCUUGUCUGAUUCUUGGAGAUGGCAGGAAGCCCCUGGAAACACAUGGUGUGGACUCUUUCACAGGCUGUUGAAACCCUCCUGAAUGUGAGGCCAGAGACAGGCAGACAGCAGAUGUAUUGCAGGGAGCUGGAUGACAUGGCCCUUGGAACCUGUGCACAUGCCUGCCUUUCUGAUGCACGUCCAUGUUUUCUCUGCACCUCCCCGGUGGUGUUGGUAUAAAAAGCAGGCUUACAUCAGCAAGGGAUGAUUGUCGUCUCAUGCGAUCCUGGGAGAUGGCAGAAGUCCCGGGACACAUGGAGUGUGGGCUCUUUCGGAGGCUGUUGGAUCCCUCCUGAAUGUGUUGUGGCCAUGGAAGUAAGGCCAGUGGCUACGAGGGACAGUCUUCAUCUUGGGAGAUCCCUAGAGAGGGCAGGGAGCCCCUUGACAUGUGGAAUGUGAUCUCUGUUGGGUGCUGGUGGAUCCCACAGGUGGUCUGGCAUGGAAGAAGGCCAGAGGCUGCGAUGGAUCAUCUUUGUCUUGGGAGAUUCCUGGAGAUGGUGGGGAGCCCCUGGGCACGUGCAGCAUAUGUGGCGUGGGCUUCUUCAGGUGCUGGUGGAUCCCUCAGGAUGCUUUUCAAGGUUUUUCUAUGAGUUCUGUUAAAGAGUCUGAAAAUGGAGCGUAGAAGACAUGCUUCGAUUUCCAGGAUGGUUGUGUUUUCCAGAGAGGCGGAGGUAAACCACUGGCGCAGCCCUGCCUCCCACAGAUAAUUCCGGGUGCAGUGUUUCAUAUCUAGACUUGGACUUCUAUCCUACCAUACUUCUUUGUGUGCAGUUCAUUGUGGAACCAGCACAGAUUUUCAUACGAAAGUUAUUUCUUUUUAACCUCAAAAAGUGACAGAAUGGAGUGUAUCAUGAAAAAGUCUGACAUCAAAACCUCAAAAUGUGAUAUUGAUUGGGUGAGAUAGAAUUCCAUGGAAUUUCAUUGCCAAACCAGUGAAGUGCUAAUUUUGACAUUUGUACCAGCUAACGUAGCUGUGAAGAAACACACCAAUACACUUCUAAGGACAGCAUAGACCAAGAUCUAGGUUUCAUAUGGAUGAAUUUAUUCUUCCCUUUGAGGCAAGACAAGAAGGAAAGAAAGUAUUGGGAAUAAUGCUGCCCUCCCAUCCUCAAGGGCCAGUGGGAACUCUAAUAUUGAUUGGUUUUCACAGAAUUCCAUGGACUUUAACUGCUGAACCAAUGAUGCACUGAUUUUGUCACUUGUACCAGCUAACGCAUCUGGGAGGCAACAAAACAAUACUCUCCUGAGGUUAAUGUGGACCAAAAACUAGAUUUCAUAUAAAAGAGUUUAUUCCUUCUACUUGAGGUGUGACAUGAAGGAAAGUAAUGGAAAUAAUUCUGCCCUCCCAUUCUCAAGGGCCAGGGGGAAUUCAAAUAUUGAACGGAAGUGAUUUUGGAAUUGCAUGGAAUUCUCACUGCCAUCCCAAAGAAAUGCUGAUCUUGUCACUCUUACCUGUUUCAUUCCCUGGGGGCAGAACAAAAGGACGCACUCCAAAGAUCGGCAUGAACCAAGAACUGGGUUUCAUAUAAAAUAUUUUAUUCUGUCCUCUUGAGAUGUGACAUGAGAAAAGUAUUGAGAAUACUUCUAUCACCUCAUCUUCAAGAAUCCGUAGGAAUUCUCCCAUGGUGGACUUUACGGUUAACCUGAACAGGUCUUGGAAAAAGGACUUUAAACAUUCUCCUGUUCUGUGGAAUAAGUAUACUUUUUUCUGGACAUACACCUUGUCAGUGAGUUCCAUGUGAUACUAGAGUUGCAUAGAUUUUUAACCUUUACGCCAAUGAAGAUCUGAGGCAAACAUUGCCCCUUUUUUAGAAGUUUGCAUUUGUCACUGAUAACUGUAAUAAUUGAUCUUGUUGAAAAGCCUGGGAAAUGAAGAUCUGAUAUGUCACUUUUACCGGCUUCCUCAACUGAAAAAGAAUACAAUGAAACACGCUGAGAAUUUUUGUGCUUUCUCAGUCUUGCUGAUGAUCUUUCUAUGGGCCUGAAGCGUGGAGAGUGCCAGAGAGGCUGAUCCUCAGCAGUGUGGCAGAGGAAAGUUGGGUGCGACUAAGGGGUAUGCGGUGCCCACAUGCCACUGGGUCCUCAGCAGUACCACCUGAUUGGAAGUGAUAUUGGUGGAAGACAACAUUUUGCCGCUUGGAAUUCUCACCUCCACACCAAAGAAGUACUGUUUUUGUCAUUUGCACCAGCUUCUUUCUCCAGGAAAGAUCAAAACGAUGCACUGCAAGUGUGAUUGGUCCAGAUAGCUGCCUUAUCCAACUGCCUCCUUUGGACCACUUCAUCAUGGGACAGCUUGAUGCAAUCUACUUGACAAGACCCUGGAACCCCACACCCCUCAUGGAACCAGUGUCCACCUCCCAGUCACAGUGUGACCCCAGGGAACUCUUGCCUGCUUGCUUUAAACCCACCACUUAAAAGUCUCCACAGAAAACCUGUUUGAAUAGUACCCUUGACCCAAUAAGGGCAUUGGCCCCUGGGUGUCUCUCUCUCUCUCUCUCUCUCUCUCUCCCUCUCUCUCCCUCUCUCUCUCUCGCUCCCUGACCUCUGCGUGUGGACUCCAGGCAUGCCAUAUACCCCUCAGGACCUGAAGCAAAAGAAUGAAUUAAAGAAAACUCCAGAGAAUGAGCUGACAACCUACUCCCUGGUCAGUGGCUCUCCAUGCCUACCUGUGGUCUCUUGGACACCCUUGCAGAAGAUGACUUCCUGGGAACUCUUCUGGGAGUGAAUGUUAUCAGCAAAUUCCCAAAACAACACCCCUUAGACAAAAAGCCUCCUCACCUAUGCAUUGCCUAGACCACCCACUAAAGGUGAUGGCCACAAAGAGGUGGAUUUGUUGAGUUGGUGCCAUUCCUUCUACUGCCAGCUUCACCAAAACAAUGACACAGUCUUCCUUCCGCAUGGAGACUCUUCUCUUUCCUGUGUUGCAGUGGAUGCCUCCUGCAGAUAAGAAAUGCUUAACUGAGAAAUGCUCAUGUUGGGAUAUCAUCGAUGAGACUUUAAUUUGGGCAUGGUGACUGUUUCCCUUGCUGCCACUUGACUCAAUCCCAGGAGCCUCAGUAGAGGAUAUAAUAUUACACAAGAUGCUCAAAAUGGUGGAAUUGCUCAGUGCUCCCAUAAAUAUACAUUUAUAAUUUUCAUUUGCCACAUGGUAAACUGAAAAAUACAGACUAUAUUAAAAAGAAACUGCAUGAUUUUUUUUCAAAAAUUCAAAGCAUAUUUAAAUAAUAUAUAAAUUAAAUGCCCUCCUCUCUUCCAAUUCUGUCCCUAUAGUUUUCCUCUAUUAAGUGAACUACAUGCAUUCUUUUAGUGGAUAGAUGCACACAAACACACAAGCCAUUAUGGGGAAGGAUCCACGUGUGUGGCCAUAUUGUAACACAUUUUUCUGCAAAUCACCUCUUUCAUUUAACAGCCCUUAUUCAAUGGCCUUUUUCUUUUUCAGUAGUACAUACACAUCUGUGUCAUUUGUUGAAUGACGACAUGAAUGUUUUGUAGAUAAAAUAUAAUUAAAUGUUUUAAGCAUUUCUCACUCAUAGAUAUUUAUGUUAGCACCAAAUUUCUGUGCAAUGAACCUCCCUAUAUAUCAGUAAUUUUGCAUUUGUCUAUAAUAUCAUAAUAAAUUACUUAUCAGUUGAAUUACUGGGAUUAAGUAUGUGCACACUUUAUAUUUAUAUUUUGAAAAUUAUUGCAAGAUUGCCUUCAAAAAUGUGGUUAACAACUUUAUCUUCAAAUGGCAAUGAAUGAGAUUGCCAGCUUUCCUACAGCCUCACAGACAAUGGAUUUUAUAAAUAUUUAACAUUUUUGCCAAUGUGAUCACCCAAACUAUUGUCUUAAAUUGUAUCUCUUUUGUUUUUGAGUUUGGUCAUUUUUUCAUGUUUAUUAGCCAUCUGUAUUUUUUAAUUUCUUCUUUAUGUCCAAUUUUGUGGGUGGGAGGAGGAUUUAGUCUCUUCCUGAUUUCGAAGAGCUCAUUUACUAUUUCGGGAAAUAAGAUUUGGAUUGUCAACCAUUAUAGCUAUUUUUUACACACUUUUCAACUUUGUUUUUGUUAUAAGAAUGUGUAUGAUUGUUACAUGUCCAAGUAUAACCAUGUUCGCUUUUAUGGCUUCUGAGUUUCAUGUCAUUUUUGGAAAGAUAUAUAUAUUGAGUCCAUAAAACCCUUCACCUAUGUUAAAUUCUAAUUCUUUUGUGUUUUUUUAAUUCAAAUUCUUAAAUCAUGAGAAAUUUUUUUGUUUUGAAAUCUUAAAGUUGCCAAGUUACUUGCCAUUACUUGCGAUUAUUUGCCAAUAAUUGCCCAUUUAUCUGUACCGCCAUCUUGCGCAUAUGCUGUACUCUCAUCUGUGACUGGCUCCAUUUUUGUUCUGUGGAUUUGUGUGUCUCUUCUUCUGCCUCCUGUCUCGUGUCUGCUCGUUGGAAGAAAUUACAGUUUAGACUGCAAUUUCAUCAACUUUAAUAAAUCAAUUGAGGGGAGAAUUGGUUUUUAAAAAUAUUAAGUAAGUCUUCGUAUCCAAGGACAAGGUAUGUCUUUUCUUAUUCAAUAAUUUUAAUUACUGUUAAUAUUUUCACUGUGGUGAUGGGAGUUUUUCUUUUAAUUUAUUUUCUUGUUCAUUUUUUGUAUCUAAAGUUUUUGUUUUGUUUUGUUUUGGGGGUAAGUUGUCACCUUACUGUUUCUUGUUGCUUUUCAGAUUUUUUCAAAGUAUAGACUAAAUCCUUCACAAAUAUUUAAAGUUUUUAUUUUCCCCCUUCAUAUUGAUCCUGAUUUUAGUUAUGUUGACAAAGUCCACAGACUGUUACUAUCAGAACACUUGAACAGUUAUGGAAAUAUUACCUACCCUUGAUUUAAUCAGAGUUUAAUGGUAUGCUUCUUUGGUUUGACUGGCACAUUGUCGCUGGUCAUUUCCUCCCAAAGACCACCAGAAAGAGCUAUGAUCAAGCAAAGCUGAGUUUGUUAAACUUACCUGCAGCAAGGGAAAACACCACCUUGAUAGGGUUUAAUAAUGUUUCAAAAUCAAGAAAUGAGGCUUUGGGGUCUGGGCAGGGAACUAAUUAGAAAUGGGCAAAAUUUGUCAUGCAAUACCUUGUGGGAAAGUGAGAUGAGGUUCUUAAUGUGAGUAUUGAUGGUGAAAUCAUUUUCUAGGUGAGCUGUUUGCCUAUAUAAAGAUGUUAUCAAUGACAGAAGAACUAUUUGCCUAGAUAAACAAACUGAAUUUAUUUAUUGGUUUACAGUUUUAUCUUGCUGGGCAGGACUCUGCUGGGGGUGGUAUCAGGUCUUAUUCCCAAUAGGUAAGUUAUUUGGAUAUGGGUGGUCUUAAUCAUCAAUGUGUAAAAUGCUGAUUUUAAGUGCGAAAUACUUUGUCUACCAUGUUAGGAAAGUCUGCCACCUUUUAUCUUUUUUAAGGAAUUUUAAUCAAAACCAGGUGGUAGAUAUAAUCAAAUUGUUUUGCAGAAUCAAUUUUCCUGUUCUCUUUAAAGACUUUUAUCACUGUGAAUUAAUUUACUAUUAUUGCAACUUCCUUUAAUUCCUUGAAUGAACAGACCCUACUGGUUUUAAAAAUGUUUUAUUCUUUUAAUUUACUACUUAAUUGUGGGUAUUUUAAUUUGAUUUGGAAUUUUUACAAGUAUACAACUAAGUGAAAUUGAUCUGUGAUUUUUCUUUUUUGUGCUAUUUUUGUCAUGUUUUGAUAUCAGAUAUUCUGGUUGUGUUAAAAUAAUUUUGAGGAUUUUCUUCUUAUACUGUGUUCUAGAGUGGGUAAAAAAGCCCUAGUCUCACUAUCAGUGUUUAAGUGAACACAUCAGUGACAUCAUCUGGACUCUCCUUUGUUUUUGCUGGUUUGGAGUUAGGACAUCUAGAAGUUUUUUUCUUUUUUUCCUUUUUUUGUAUGGUUAUUGCUUGUUCUUUGUUUUGUGUCAAAUUUAACCUGUUUUCUCUUAGCAAAUCACAGCUCAUGCAGAUUUUCAAACACAUUAGCCUUGUUAUACAAAGUGUUCUUUCAUCAUUCUAUUAAAUUUCCAUUUUCAUUCCAGUUAUAGUUAUUUCUGCUGUGCCUUUGUUAAUGAAUAAGUUUAAACAGUGGAUGUUUAGCAUCACUAGCCUUCCCCUUCCAUCUCCCUUAAUCAGGACCUUGGUAUAAUUUAUCAGGUAUUUUUUAAGGUUCUAAUUUACUUAUAUAUAUUGUUUCUGUAUUCUUUUGUUUCUUUUCUUAAUAAAUUCUUAAA
rnacentral:lncRNA from 1 species